AUUAAGUUAAAUCAAGAUCAAAGUGAAUCUACGUAGAAAUGAAUAUAAGUCUUAUUAAAACGUAGCUCUAUUUGUGCGCGCGAAUAUCUCGAUGGCGAUCAAAUCGAGUGUGCAGCUCGGAGCUCAAGCUACCGAGAGACCGUGAUCCUCUCUCGCAUAGAUGUUUCGCGGCUACAGCAGCAUCAUCCCUAGUAGAUCUCUCGCUCGUGUGUCGCCAAUGAGUUUCAGGCUCCGCCCAGCACCCGGUUAGGCAGUGGUCGGCAAGGAGGUGAAAUACGCGCAGGACUAAAUUCUACGUCACGCUGGGGGCGUAUACCGGGGCUCGGAGACACAACCCCCGGCUGCGAGGGUAGCUCACCCCUCUGUUCGCGCCGAGAUCAAAUCACCCGAUUCAGUGCUAUCUUCGAUCUUCGCGCUGUAACACCAGCGACGAGGCUCGCGUCGUACAUUCUUGAUUGUGCGUUUUUUCGCUAUUUCGGUGAUUCCGUUUAUCGUUCACAGUGAAGGACUUUUGAUUCGAUAGCGAAUAGAUCGCGAACCGCGAAGUUAUGAUGAACCUUGCCGAUCAGGAGGUGCCUGCCGCAACGACGGAUUUGGCGGGCUUACCCGGAAACGGAUUCGGCAGAUUGCCCGAGCCGCUUCAGACAGUGGCCGGCGAAUAUUGCCCCGGUAGCUACCCAGUGUCUCAAACCGUGAACAAUGAAAAGCUGCACACCGGAAACGAGUUGUACAUGCCGCAAGGCUACAGGCAAGAAACUUGGCUGCAAGAUGGUAGCAGCUCCGAGACCGAGGACAGCGAGCAAUACGUGCCCGAGUUUCACCAAAUGUCAAGUGCAAACGUAAAACAAGAGUCGAGCAAUUGCACGAGAAACGGCGACAGUGGCACCUACCAUCCUCAGUAUCAGUCUAAUACGAUAUCAAUUGCGCACGGUCAAAACAGCAACUUCCUCGAAAUCAGCUCGGACCGUUGCUUCGGGAAUCGAAAGAUAAACGGACCAGCUAAUAAGAACACGAAGGAUGUUGCUGUGAAGGAAGAGCCGACGGAUCGAAGCUACGUAGAGCCUCUUCCGAUAACUAAUAUAUCAUCAGCAACGUCACAGGAGAACGCGAGCAGCUUAAUUUAUCCACAACGUCAACAACAGUACGGGAAUGUGACGAGGGAUCACAGAGGCUCGUCGCCGCCAUCCAGUCGUCCAGCUAGCGCUUCUUCUUCAACUUCCCAAUGGCAGUCGACCUUUUCCGUUUCCUCCGAAACUUUUCUGCCGCGACAAGAGAACUGGAAUUCUGAAGCUUAUGCGAAGAGAAGUGGCACGCCGACUUGGACAGAACUCGGCACGCAACUGGAUCCCAGAAGCUCGUCUUGGGAUCGGCAAAAUGGCUGUUAUCAGAAAAAGGGUUCGCCCGUUUCAACCUGGAACCCGGACCACAAUAAAAGGCCGUCAUCGACGACCGGCGUGUCCGCUUGGAGCGAUGUCGCCGUUGGUUAUCAGCAACAGCGACGUGGUUCCUUGCAAUUGUGGCAAUUCCUCGUAGCUUUGCUCGAUGAUCCCGCGAAUGCGCCUUGCAUCGCGUGGACCGGACGUGGAAUGGAAUUCAAGCUGAUCGAACCGGAAGAGGUGGCACGAAGAUGGGGCGUUCAGAAAAAUAGACCGGCUAUGAAUUAUGAUAAGCUGAGUCGUUCAUUGAGAUAUUACUACGAGAAAGGCAUAAUGCAAAAGGUCGCUGGUGAGAGAUAUGUGUACAAGUUCGUUUGCGAUCCGGAAGCGCUCUUCAACAUGGCGUACGGUACUGGUGCGUCUUCAGGGAUUAGCGGAGAAGUUCCAAGUAGUAUGGUAAGGAGCCAUGCGGUGCCCGGGAAAGGAGCGGGCGGAAACGAAGUUCCAGAUUUGAUGAAGCAUCCCGCCGCGGGGUAUAGCGACGCGGUUUUCGCUAUGUACUCAAAUACCGCCGCAGUGUACGGACCUUCCAGUCUCCAUCAUUUGCAUCAAUAUCUCGGCGGUAACGAGGGCUUUAAAACUCCAUCGAGUAGAUAUCAUCCCCAUUACUCCCAUCAGUACGGCAGUAAUCACCAUCAUCAUCAUCAUCAUCAUCAUCAUCCGGCUCCGAGCUAUACGGAGACCUUCCUAAACUACAGCCGACUGUCAUCGCACGAAGCUACUUACGAUACGAAGGCGCAGGAACCACCGCCGAGAGACUCGUAUACCCAGGAAGCGGAGAGUACCAACAGAGAUCGGGAACCUGCGUCGAUACCUUAUGACAAUGUGCAGAGAUCGCAGUUAUCGGCUCCAGCCGUGCCGCAAUCUUCGAUAUUGGAUGGCGCGACAAGCUCGAAACUCGAACAAGCACCUUACACAUGUUUAGGUGUUGGAAGCUGCGUCUGUUAAAUAAAUGUGAUCGAAUGUUACUUGCAUAUUAUUUGAAGGAAGAUUCUAUCGAGUAUGUUUGACGAUCUUCGAAAUGGAGCGAGGCUCCAAAUCUGGACUUUGACGUACAUUAACGAUUUGUCGAGCAUAAAUUAAAAUAAUGCGAUUUUGACUCAACGAUUAUCAUAAAUCUGUUCCAUCGAGAGCGGGAA